GUUGCUUUUUUUGUUUACAUUACCGAUCUCCCAAGGCACAGAUCUCCAUAGCAAGGAUCUCUGACUAUCCUGAAAAACUAAUAUUUUAUCCCACAUGCUAUGUUGUAAGGUCAAAACGAGAUCUGUAGCAGGGGAGGCACAGAGACUUUGUUCCCCUCCAGGCAUUGGUCCAGGUAUGUGCUCCUUCCAUCAGGUAUUACUUAGCUCAGGUUUAUUUUACUGCAGAAAUUGUGUGAUAGGGAACACUACUCUGGUCACCCUCUCUCCCACAUUUUGCUAUAGUAAUUACUAUUGCUGACAAACAGUUCACUCAUUUUGUGCAACUUUAAUCUCCUCUUUUAUCAUUUCAUUCCAUUAAACAUGUUCUGCGGAAUCCACUGUAAUCUGUUACUAAUCCUAUCUUCCUACCAAGCUAAUAUUUACGGAGCUCUCAGAAGUCACAAGCACCAUUCUUGCUUUAAUACACAAGUGGAAGUGUACUGUCUGGGGGAUCUGGAGUGGCUUGCCUGUGCUUAGCUUUAUUUAUUUAUUUCUGGCAUUUAUAAAGCGCCAACAUAUUCCACAGCGCUGUACAAUUGGGAAAGACAACACAAUAGGAACAGACCGAUACAACAGGUAUAGGGCCCUGCCCGUGAG